rnacentral:rRNA from 1 species
GAUGAACGCUGGCGGCGUGCCUAAUACAUGCAAGUCGAGCGAACACACGAGGAGCUUUCUCCUCUGACGUCAUCGGCGGACGGGUGAGUAACACGUGGAUAACCUACCUAUAAGACUGGGAUACCAUCGCGAAACCGUAGCUAAUACCGGAUAAUAUAUUGAACCUCAUGGUUCAAUAGUGGAAGACGGUUUUUCGUACAGUUAUAGAUUACUCCGCGCCGCAUUAGCUAGUUGGUAAGGUAACGGAUUACCCAAGCAACGAUGCGUAGACGACCCGAGAGGGUGAACGGCCAGACUGGAACUGAGGCACGGUCCACACACCUACGGGAGGCAGCAGUACAGACUCUUCCGCAAUGGGCGAGUGCCUAAUGGUGCAACGCCGGCUAAGUGAUGAUGGUCUUCUGAUGCUAAAGCUCUGUUAUUAGGGAAGAACAAAUGUUUAAGUAACUAUGCACGUCUUGACGGUACCUAAUCAGAAAGCCACGGCUAACUACGUG